GGGUGAAUUAGUGCAGCGGAUAUUUUUCAGCGAUUAAAACCAAAAGCUGCGUUCGUUCGAUAAAGACUAUUUUGAUGCAAAAGCCGAUUCUAAGAUUACUUAUGAUUAAGUGCAGUUUACGUUUAAACACAGUUAGCGUCUAAACGCGGUUUGCGUCUAAAUGCAGAUUGCGUCUAAGCGCAGUUUGCGUCUUAGCGCA
rnacentral:lncRNA from 1 species